rnacentral:rRNA from 1 species
GUGGGGAAUUUUGGACAAUGGGCGCAAGCCUGAUCCAGCAAUGCCGCGUGCAGGAAGAAGGCCUUCGGGUUGUAAACUGCUUUUGUACGGAACGAAACGGUCCUGGCUAAUAUCCGGGGCUAAUUACGGUACCGUAAGAAUAAGCACCGGCUAACUACGUGCCAGCAGCCGCGGUAAUACGUAGGGUGCGAGCGUUAAUCGGAAUUACUGGGCGUAACGCGUGCGAAGGCGGUGCUGUAAGACAGGCGUGAAAUCCCCGGGCUCAACCUAGGAAUUGCGCUUGUGACGGAAGUGCUGGAGUGCGGCAGAGGGGGAUGGAAUUCCGCGUGUAGCAGUGAAAUGCGUAGAUAUGCGGAGGAACACCGAUGGCGAAGGCAAUCCCCUGGGCCUGCACUGACGCUCAUGCACGAAGGCGUGGGGAGCAAACAGGAUUAGAAACCCGUGUAGUCC